UCGGAUCUGUGUGCAAACGGGUCCGUGUGCAAAUGGAUCGUGCGCAAUCGGGUCUGUGUGCAAUCGGGUCCGUGUGGAAACGGGUCCGUGUGGAAACGGGUCCGUGUGGAAACGGGUCGUGUGCAAUCGGGUCGGUGUGCAAACGGGUCCGUGUACAAUCGGGUUGGUAUGCAAUCAAGUCCGUGUGCAAUCGGGUCCGUGUCCAAUCGGGUCUGUGUCCAAUCGAGUCCGUGUCCAAUCGGGUCUGUGUCCAAUCAGGAAAUACUACCUGUCCAAUCGCUUAUGUGCGCAAACGGACCUCACCCCCCACCCACACACACACACAUAGCACACACACACGAGGGGGAAAAAGUGCAAGAGGGGUCUUCGACCCCCUCCCGCACCCACCUCGUCCAAGUUGCAACCCAUGUACGUUGGGUGCGUUUGAGAAUACAUUUAGUUGGCAUUGGGAAAAAAAGUUGGCAAUAUUGUUAAUUCCCAGUGCUGCGUUUCAUGUCUCCCAACUGACAAGAGACUAAAGCAAAUUGAAUUACUUGUAGUGCUGAAAGAGGUCCUUUUUUGCUACAUUGCUAUUGAACAAUCAAUAUAUCAUCCUAGAAGAAUGUAUUUUACUUGUUUACAUCCUCAAGUAAUGACUCUUCUACAGACAACGAUGACAAUAAUGAAGCAUUGCAAAAUAUUUUAUUCGAUAAAGAUGAAAACAAUAGAAAUGAAAGAAGAAUAGUACCAAAAAUUAAUAAUUAUAUAAAGCAUGUUGUUGUAAGAUAUACAAAUAUAGAAUUUAAAUCACA